AACCUGGUUGAUCCUGCCAGUAGUCAUACGCUCGUCUCAAAGAUUAAGCCAUGCAUGUCUAAGUAUAAACGAUUUUGUACUGUGAAACUGCGAAUGGCUCAUUAUAUCAGUUAUAGUUUAUUUGAUAGUCCCUUACUACAUGGAUACCCGUAGUAAUUCUAGAGCUAAUACAUGCACCGACUCCCAACUGCUUCGGCGGACGGGACGUAUUUAUUAGAUUGAAACCAAUGCGGGGGAGACCCCGGUAUUGUGGUGAGUCAU
rnacentral:rRNA from 1 species